GAUGAACGCUGGCGGCGUGCCUAAUACAUGCAAGUCGAGCGAAUGGAUUAAGAGCUUGCUCUUAUGAAGUUAGCGGCGGACGGGUGAGUAACACGUGGGUAACCUGCCCAUAAGACUGGGAUAAUUCCGGGAAACCGGGGCUAAUACCGGAUAAUAUUUUGAACUGCAUGGUUCAAAAUUGAAAGGCGGCUUCGGCUGUCACUUAUGGAUGGACCCGCGUCGCAUUAGCUAGUUGGUGAGGUAACGGCUCACCAAGGCAACGAUGCGUAGCCGACCUGCGAGGGUGAUCGGCCACACCGGGACUGAGACACGGCCCAGACUCCUACGGGAGGCAGCAGUAGGGAAUCUUCCGCAAUGGACGAAAGUCUGACGGAGCAACGCCGCGUGAGUGAUGAAGGCUUUCGGGUCGUAAAACUCUGUUGUUAGGGAAGAACAAGUGCUAGUUGAAUAAGCUGGCACCUUGACGGUACCUAACCAGAAAGCCACGGCUAACUACGUGCCAGCCGCCGCAGUAA
rnacentral:rRNA from 1 species